CAAACGCUGGCGGCGUGCCUAACACAUGCAAGUCGAACGAGAAAGUCGGUUUUCGGCCGAUGAGUAAAGUGGCGCACGGGUGAGUAACGCGUGGAUAAUCUACCCUUUAGUCCGGAAUAACUUGCCGAAAGGUGAACUAAUACCGGAUGACAUCCCGGGUUCUCCGGAAACCGGGAUCAAAGAAGGCCUCUGCUUGCAAGCUUUUGCUGAAGGAUGAGUCCGCGUACCAUUAGCUAGUUGGUGGGGUAAUGGCCUACCAAGGUUAUGAUGGUUAGCUGGUCUGAGAGGAUGAUCAGCCACACUGGAACUGAAACACGGUCCAGACUCCUACGGGAGGCAGCAGUGAGGAAUAUUGCGCAAUGGGGGCAACCCUGACGCAGCAACGCCGCGUGAGUGAGGAAGGUUUUCGGAUUGUAAAGCUCUGUCGAGCGGAAAGAAAUGCACGAUGGCUAAUAUCCAUCAUGCUUGACGGUACCGCUAGAGGAAGCACCGGCUAACUCCGUG
rnacentral:rRNA from 1 species